UAAGGAAAGAAACAACCUUUCAGAAGUAUAUUACCAAAAUAUUCGAAAAUCAUAUUUUAAAUAGAACAAUGAGAGGCAAAAUGCAGCUUACCUCUGGGUAUGGCCCUCAAAGGAGUUUUCCCUCAUUUCAAACCCAAAAACCUGUGAGUAAAGAUAGUAACCAAAGGGAAAUGGAUAGAACCUUGAACAUCUUCAAGACUAAAAUGUACUCUCAAUAAACAACUUUGGAACAUAAAAUUAAUCACUUUAAUUAGUGCUUACUUGGGGGAUAACAGGGGAUGAAGCUCUACAUGAGAAACCACCAUCUUCCCUCCUUCUCUUGAGAGAAAAACUGUCACCACCAUAAGAUGGUGUUGCAAAAUCAGAAACCAUGUUUGGUGUCACAGGAAAAUUAGCAUCAGCACCCCCACCUCCAAAUGACCGAAUGCACUAUGUUCCAUUUUCUGAUGAUCAUAACCACCAUGUUCCUCCUCCUCACCGCACUAAAGAAAUCUAACGAAAGGAGUUCCUU
rnacentral:lncRNA from 1 species